GGGAUAACAACGAGAAAUCGUUGCUAAUACCGCAUAAGACCACAGCAUCGCAUGAUGCAGAGGUCAAAGAUUUAUCGCUUUAGGAUGGACUCGCGUCCCAUUAGCUAGUUGGUAGGGUAAAGGCCUACCAAGGCGACGAUGGGUAGCCGAGCUGAGAGGCUGAUCGGCCACACUGGGACUGAGACACGGCCCAGACUCCUACGGGAGGCAGCAGUGGGGAAUAUUGGGCAAUGGGCGCAAGCCUGACUCAGCAACGCCGCGUGAGAGAAGAAGGUUCUCGGAUUGUAAAUCUCUGUCGUGAGGGACGAAAAAAAUGACGGUACCUCACAAGAAAGCCCCGGCUAACUACGUGCCAGCAGCCGCGGUAAUACGUAGGGGGCGAGCGUUGUCCGGAAUUACUGGGCGUAAAGGGAGCGUAGGCGGUUUUAUAAGUUAGAUGUGAAAUACCCGGGCUUAACUUGGGGGGUGCAUCUAAAACUGUAGAACUUGAGUGCAGGAGAGGAAAGUGGAAUUCCUAGUGUAGCGGUGAAAUGCGUAGAUAUUAGGAGGAACACCAGUGGCGAAGGCGACUUUCUGGACUGUAACUGACGCUGAGGCUCGAAAGCGUGGGGAGCAAACAGGAUUAGAUACCCUGGUAGUCCACGCUGUAAACGAUGAAUACUAGGUGUAGGGGGUAUCAACUCCCUCUGUGCCGCAACUAACGCAAUAAGUAUUCCGCCUGGGGAGUACGGUCUCACCUGAAACUCAAAGGAAUUGACGG
rnacentral:rRNA from 1 species